rfam:Butyrivibrio sp. CAG:318 genomic scaffold, scf13
UGAUAGCGUUGAAACGUGAGGUUGCUGCCCGAUAAUGUGGCAGGUUUUCCGCGGAGCGAAUGUCAAGUUAGGAAACUGACGACAA